GACGAACGCUGGCGGCGUGCCUAAUACAUGCAAGUUGAGCGCUGAAGGUUGGUACUUGUACCGACUGGAUGAGCAGCGAACGGGUGAGUAACGCGUGGGGAAUCUGCCUUUGAGCGGGGGACAACAUUUGGAAACGAAUGCUAAUACCGCAUAAAAACUUUAAACACAAGUUUUAAGUUUGAAAGAUGCAAUUGCAUCACUCAAAGAUGAUCCCGCGUUGUAUUAGCUAGUUGGUGAGGUAAAGGCUCACCAAGGCGAUGAUACAUAGCCGACCUGAGAGGGUGAUCGGCCACAUUGGGACGGAGACACGACCAAAACCACUGCGGGAGGCAGCAGUAGGGAAUCUUCGGCAAUGGACGAAAGUCUGACCGAGCAACGCCGCGUGAGUGAAGAAGGUUUUCGGAUCGUAAAACUCUGUUGGUAGAGAAGAACGUUGGUGAGAGUGGAAAGCUCAUCAAGUGACGGUAACUACCCAGAAAGGGACGGCUAACUACGUG
rnacentral:rRNA from 1 species